rnacentral:tRNA from 1 species
GCCACGCGGCAUCAGGUGUCACGCCCCGUCAGGAUCCGGGUUCGUCUUGUAAAGCGGGGGUCGUCGGUUCGAACCCGACAGGGGGCU